rnacentral:rRNA from 1 species
CAAGCAAGAGGACCCGCUGAAUUUAAGCAUAUCAAUAGCCGGAGGAAA